rnacentral:rRNA from 1 species
UGGGGAAUUUUGCACAAUGGGGGAAACCCUGAUGCAGCGACGCCGCGUGAUUUAGAAGGCCUUCGGGUUGUAAAAAUCUUUUUUACGGGAUGAAAAUGACAGUACCGUAAGAAUAAGGUCCGGCUAAAUACGUGCCAGCAGCCGCGGUAAUACGUAUGGACCGAGCGUUGUCCGGAAUCAUUGGGCGUAAAGGGUACGUAGGCGGCCUAGUAAGUUAGAAGUGAAAUAAUAUAGCUCAACUAUAUAAAGCUUUUAAAACUGCUAGGCUUGAGAGAUGGAAGGGAAAGUGGAAUUCCUAGUGUAGCGGUAAAAUGCGCAGAUAUUAGGAAGAAUACCGGUGGCGAAGGCGACUUUCUGGUCAUCAUCUGACGCUGAGGUACGAAAGCGUGGGUAGCAAACAGG